GCCGGGCGUGGUGGCGCGCACCUGUAAUCCCAGCUACUCAGGGGGCUGAGGCAGGAGAAUUGCUUGAACCCGGGAGGUGGAGAUUGCAGUGAGCCGAGAUCGUGCCACUGCACUCCAGCCUGGGUGAUAGAGCGAGACUCUGUCUCAA
rnacentral:SRP_RNA from 1 species